GAUACUUAAAUUUAAGAAAACUGCAUCAGAAAAUAUAAACUAAAAUAUUAUUAUUAUUAUUUAUGAUUUGAAUGGAACUAAGACACUGCGGGUCAAACCUGAACAGGAACUAAUGCCUGCUACAGACUGUAUGAUUUCAGCAAUCCUAUCAGAUCAUUACAAAUCACACGGUACGACAUGUAUCUAACAAACUUGGGUACGACAUGGACAGCAGACUGUACAAUGUUGAGACCUAUUGGAUCGUAGGCUACGACGCAAGUUAGUAUAGAAGAAUAAAACAUUGUCAAUAUGCGCUAGUGGUAAACAAAUAGAGCAAGAUGAAGCAUGCUUUGGCAGUUGUGGUUUUAAUGAAAACAAAUGUGAAAAAAAAGAGGAGGAAGCGAAAGAGGAGAAUAUGGACAUGGUCAUGGCUAGGGAAAAGAGGCCAGCAUGCCAAUUUUGCAAAAUGGAGCUUGAGCUGUGAACAGCAGAACCAUAUAUGAUUCUGCUGUGAUGUUGAGCGGAAAUGAUCCUCCAGGUGGGGAUUAAGAAUGUUGUACCUUACUUUUGGAAAUGCUAGGGACACACGUGGCUUCCUGGCAACUGUAGUGUAAACACUAAUGCAUCCUGAUGUGUCCCGGACAAUGGUGAAGGAAUACUUACUCACCAAACAUGCAAUCAUUCUGCAGAAACAAGGGCAUUAAACUUUGCAAGCUUUUGUGAACAAGAAAACAACUGUCUGAUCAUUUAUUUCAUGAAUCAUUUAGUAACACUUUACAUUAAGGUUCCCUUUGUAAAGGGUUUAUAAAGAUGUUUGUUAAUGACUAAUAGUUUAUUUACAAAUGCAUUAUAAGUCAUUGUUAAGCAGUUAUAACUGCAUGAAUAAAAAGGGUGACUUUAACGUAAUACCCGCCAAAUAGCCAAAAAAAAAAAAAAAAAAAAAGUUACAACAUUCAGUUCACAA